GACAGAGGUGCCGAGCGUUAGGCGGAAUCACUGGGCUUAAAGCGUGUGUAGGCGGGUCGUUAAGUACCUUGUGAAAUCCCCCGGCUUAACCGGGGAACUGCUGGGUAUACUGGCGACCUUGAGCAAUCCAGGGGCGAGCGGAACAAGCGGUGGAGCGGUGAAAUGCGUAGAUAUCAGGAGGAACACCGGCGGUGUAGACGGCUUUCUGGACCGUAGCUGACGCUGAGACACGAAAGCGUGGGUAGCAAACAGG
rnacentral:rRNA from 1 species